rnacentral:rRNA from 1 species
ACUAUCGUUAACUGAAUACAUAGGUUAACGAGGCGAACCGGGGGAACUGAAACAUCUAAGUACCCCGAGGAAAAGAAAUCAACCGAGAUUCCCCCAGUAGCGGCGAGCGAACGGGGAGCAGCCCAGAGUCUGAAUCAGCUUGUGUGUUAGUGGAACGGUCUGGAAAGUCCGACGGUACAGGGUGAUAGUCCCGUACACCAAAAUGCACAGGUUGUGAACUCGAAGAGUAGGGCGGGACACGUGGUAUCCUGUCUGAAUAUGGGGGGACCAUCCUCCAAGGCUAAAUACUCCUGACUGACCGAUAGUGAACCAGUACCGUGAGGGAAAGGCGAAAAGAACCCCGGCGAGGGGAGUGAAAAAGAACCUGAAACCGUGUACGUACAAGCAGUGGGAGCACCUUCGGGUGUGACUGCGUACCUUUUGUAUAAUGGGUCAGCGACUUAUAUUCUGUAGCAAGGUUAACCGUAUAGGGGAGCCGAAGGGAAACCGAGUCUUAACUGGGCGUUAAGUUGCAGGGUAUAGACCCGAAACCCGGUGAUCUAGCCAUGGGCAGGUUGAAGGUUGGGUAACACUAACUGGAGGACCGAACCGACUAAUGUUGAAAAAUUAGCGGAUGACUUGUGGCUGGGGGUGAAAGGCCAAUCAAACCGGGAGAUAGCUGGUUCUCCCCGAAAGCUAUUUAGGUAGCGCCUCGUGAACUCAUCUUCGGGGGUAGAGCACUGUUUCGGCUAGGGGGUCAUCCCGACUUACCAACCCGAUGCAAACUACGAAUACCGAAGAAUGUUAUCACGGGAGACACACGGCGGGUGCUAACGUCCGUCGUGAAGAGGGAAACAACCCAGACCGCCAGCUAAGGUCCCAAAGUCAUGGUUAAGUGGGAAACGAUGUGGGAAGGCACAGACAGCCAGGAUGUUGGCUUAGAAGCAGCCAUCAUUUAAAGAAAGCGUAAUAGCUCACUGGUCGAGUCGGCCUGCGCGGAAGAUGUAACGGGGCUAAACCAUGCACCGAAGCUGCGGCAGCGACACUAUGUGUUGUUGGGUAGGGGAGCGUUCUGUAAGCCUGCGAAGGUGACCUGUGAGGGUUGCUGGAGGUAUCAGAAGUGCGAAUGCUGACAUAAGUAACGAUAAAGCGGGUGAAAAGCCCGCUCGCCGGAAGACCAAGGGUUCCUGUCCAACGUUAAUCGGGGCAGGGUGAGUCGACCCCUAAGGCGAGGCCGAAAGGCGUAGUCGAUGGGAAACAGGUUAAUAUUCCUGUACUUGGUGUUACUGCGAAGGGGGGACGGAGAAGGCUAUGUUAGCCGGGCGACGGUUGUCCCGGUUUAAGCAUGUAGGCUGGUUGUCCAGGCAAAUCCGGAUAAUCAAGGCUGAGGUGUGAUGACGAGGCACUACGGUGCUGAAGUAACAAAUGCCCUGCUUCCAGGAAAAGCCUCUAAGCAUCAGGUAACAUCAAAUCGUACCCCAAACCGACACAGGUGGUCAGGUAGAGAAUACCAAGGCGCUUGAGAGAACUCGGGUGAAGGAACUAGGCAAAAUGGUGCCGUAACUUCGGGAGAAGGCACGCUGAUAUGUAGGUGAAGCCCCUGCGGGUGGAGCUGAAAUCAGUCGAAGAUACCAGCUGGCUGCAACUGUUUAUUAAAAACACAGCACUGUGCAAACACGAAAGUGGACGUAUACGGUGUGACGCCUGCCCGGUGCCGGAAGGUUAAUUGAUGGGGUUAGCGGUAACGCGAAGCUCUUGAUCGAAGCCCCGGUAAACGGCGGCCGUAACUAUAACGGUCCUAAGGUAGCGAAAUUCCUUGUCGGGUAAGUUCCGACCUGCACGAAUGGCGUAAUGAUGGCCAGGCUGUCUCCACCCGAGACUCAGUGAAAUUGAACUCGCUGUGAAGAUGCAGUGUACCCGCGGCAAGACGGAAAGACCCCGUGAACCUUUACUAUAGCUUGACACUGAACAUUGAGCCUUGAUGUGUAGGAUAGGUGGGAGGCUUUGAAGCGUGGACGCCAGUCUGCGUGGAGCCAACCUUGAAAUACCACCCUUUAAUGGCUGGUGUUCUAACGUAGACCCGUGAUCCGGGUUGCGGACAGUGUCUGGUGGGUAGUUUGACUGGGGCGGUCUCCUCCCAAAGAGUAACGGAGGAGCACGAAGGUUAGCUAAUCCUGGUCGGACAUCAGGAGGUUAGUGCAAUGGCAUAAGCUAGCUUGACUGCGAGCGUGACGGCGCGAGCAGGUGCGAAAGCAGGUCAUAGUGAUCCGGUGGUUCUGAAUGGAAGGGCCAUCGCUCAACGGAUAAAAGGUACUCCGGGGAUAACAGGCUGAUACCGCCCAAGAGUUCAUAUCGACGGCGGUGUUUGGCA